UACAAGUAAUCUCUUGAGUAAAAAAGCCUA
rnacentral:piRNA from 1 species